UACGUAGGGUGCGAGCGUUGUCCGGAAUUAUUGGGCGUAAAGAGCUUGUAGGCGGUUUGUCGCGUCUGCCGUGAAAUUUCGAGGCUCAACCUCGAACUUGCGGUGGGUACGGGCAGACUAGAGUGUGGUAGGGGAGACUGGAAUUCCUGGUGUAGCGGUGAAAUGCGCAGAUAUCAGGAGGAACACCGAUGGCGAAGGCAGGUCUCUGGGCAUUAACUGACGCUGAGGAGCGAAAGCAUGGGGAGCAAAAGGG
rnacentral:rRNA from 1 species